ensembl:lncRNA
UGAAAAACAAACGGCUAAAACAGUAUAUCAGUCUUCAUUUGUCCUCUCUGUUACAAAACAGGCAUCCAGCCUUUGUUUUCUGCUCCAGCAUAUAUAUAAUAAUGCCUUAGUCUGGGGUAUAUAGCUCCUCAAAGCACCUCUCCACCUUGACUAACUUUUCCAAGCGCUCAUUAGCGGACUGGCUGAAGUUUGGAGGGUAUGAAGCGGGCUGGCAGAUUACCCCCUGUAAAGUAGCACACCUCAGUGGCUGGUCGGUGCAAGAAGUGCCAAACAACAAAGUGUUUGUUUGCAUAAUAUUAGCGCUGCACGCUCGCGCACAGUGGCGGGGGCCUGACUGCAGGACUGACUGGAGGCUUCCCAUGAACACAGGUGGAGCAGGGCAAGCAUCACUGGGACCAAUUAGAGCAGAGCACAGGUUGGAGACGGGGCUCACUUUGAUCAGUGGAGUCGAGACACCAAGACACUGCAAGCAAGACGCUUUCCAGAUCUGGUACGAGGAUGCAAAGAGACGAAUCAGCAGGAAAGCAUGAGACCAGACUUUAAAGGAUUCCUCUACACAGACCUCCAGGAUGUAAAUUAGGCCUGUUUCAGCCAAGAGACAGGUUUAAACCCCCAGCCACUAUCAGGCCUACAAGGGACCAAAUGUCUCUAAAUACACAUUCGGACUGAUUCCUGAGCCACUGAAGGGGGCCUCAGGAACCUGGAUGACAACUUCAAAGACAUUCCACUCACUGACAAAGGAACUCUGGACUCAAAUCAGAACCAACAAAGACAAUCAUCCCACAAUUCUGGACUAAACUCCUUUUUAUGUACAUCCAUUUCACAGAACAAAUGAACUUGUCAAUAACUUCAUGGUCAAUCUACAUCUUUCCUUGCCUUUUAUCUUUUAUUCCUCCUGAUUAGUAUCAAUAUGAUGAUUCGUAACAUGUCUGUCAUUCACAUCAUAUCUGGUAUCGUUCUCAUCCCGUCUGUCAGUAAUGCACCUAGAUAAAUCAUGUUCA